UACGAGGGGGACAAGCGUUGUUCGGAUUUAUUGGGCGUAAAGGGUGCGUAGGCGGUUUGGCAAGUCUUGUGUGAAAUCUUUGGGCUCAACCCAAAGCCUGCACGAGAAACUGCCGGGCUUGAGUAUGGGAGAGGUGAGUGGAAUUUCCGGUGUAGCGGUGAAAUGCGUAGAUAUCGGAAGGAACACCUGUGGCGAAAGCGGCUCACUGGACCAUAACUGACGCUGAGGCACGAAAGCUAGGGGAGCAAACAGG
rnacentral:rRNA from 1 species